CCACAGUAUGCAUCCGAUGAAGUGAGCUGUAGCUCACGAAAGCUUAUGCUCAAAUAAAUUGGUUAGUCUCUAAGGUGCCACAAGUACUCCUUUUCUUUUUGCGAAUACAGACUAACAUGGCUGCUAAUCUGAAACCUCUCUUAU